rnacentral:rRNA from 1 species
CAGCACGGCAGACGCCCUCGCACCCCGUCCGGAGCAGGUUAGGGGAGCGGGCGUGGGGAGGGAGGGAGGAGAAGGGACCAGUCGGCGGUAACCACCCUUUGGGAUCGGGUAAGAGGGUUAGUUGUGUCGGCGGUGAGGAGAGGGAGGAGCGAGGGAGUGGUGUCGGCGUUGGAUCCCCGAGGCAGCAAGGAAAGAUACUCUAGGUGGCGGAGGGCUCCAGGAUAGACGGGAUCCAACGCUCCUUCGGCGCCGUCCUCCUCUCUGGAGCCACGCUCCUUCCACGCCUCCUCCUCGAGUUGGUCCCGCAGCAGCCAGCCUCCUCCCUUCGUCUCCUACGCUCGGUCCUCCGCCUGGCCGAGCCGAGUCUGUACCUCGACGGCGACGCCGGAGGAGCGGCCGGAGGAAGCAGAAGUACACCCAAACGAGCGCACCGUUCACCACAACGCAACGGCUACUGUGUCGGUCUUAACGGCAAGUACUGCGGAAACAAGGACUUAAAAAGAAAGAUCACCAACCCACGACGGUACUUUGGACAUUGUCGUCGUUCUACGUCAAGAGCUGUUUAGCGAAAAUCUAGACUCUUUCUUCUACUUGUCCUCUUAGGUUAUCUUCUUAAACCACUUCUUGUUCCCAACGCCUACCUUCUCAUGCAAUAAAGCUGCCAGGAGAUAAAAAGACAACACACACGGAAGUCCAGGUAGUCCAUAUUAACACGAAGUGGAUGGAAGGCAACAAAAGACAACAGAACCACAAAAGGGAAAACAAAUUAAGCAACAACACAGCGAGCUCCCGUAAAACUAAUCAGACUUAAUACGAAAACGAAAUCGAUUCUACUUAAAUACUUACCAACGGAAAAAGACAACUGAUUCACAAACACACAUCUCCAAGUAGAGGGGGGAAAAGUAACACGUCGUAAAAAAGGGUGAAUCAAAUGUAUACAAACAACAACCAUCACAUGAGAAGGAGUACCUAAAAACCCGCAAGUACAAGAAAGAUACGAAAUUCUUACAAAUCAAGGUUACCUUUUAUCCUACAUAGUACCUAGGUUUCUACUCUCAUAUCAACUAGGUAAAAGAAACACGAUGUCUCAAUAAACGGUACAAGAAUAAAAAAUUUACACCGUUACCUGUUGAACAAAGUGAUGUUGAAUUUGAACUUUUUAUUUUCUUUACAUUAAAACUUCCUUUUACAUUUAUAUUGUAUUUCUAACAACAAACCCGCAACAGGACACACGUACUAAUACACACACGAAUACUGGAUAACCACACAAUAUACCCAAUUCAUCAUUUCGUCAGAACAAAUACAAGUUUUUGUCUGGAUAAGUUAUGCUAAAGUGUUUCUCUAAGUGUCGAUGGUCAUGGGUUGUUACGAAGUUGGAACAAACAUAUGGCAUACAAAUGGAGAAUUAAAGAAAAUGGGAAAUCAAUAAUACUAGUGUAGGAACAAAAUUUAACAGAUGAAUGUAUUUUUGCAAACGAAUGGGACGGAUCGACAGUUGGUACCAAAAUCAUACGCCAAAUAAAGUGACAAUAUUCGGAACGAUUCGUUUAUUUAUGACCUGGUUUAGUCACCGCGUAACUUAGUCUUUUGCUCCUACUUUAUAUAUUCUUUUACACAUGUUCAAGGUCAAAUCUCGAGUACAUGUAAGUGAGAACUAAAGAACUAAGUGAGCCACUACGUAUCAGAUGUUCACUUUAGGGGAAGGCAAUAUCUAAGGGGUGAAGAAGUACUCCGAUUAAUAAAACUAUAUAUAUGGUAUACAUUAAUGUAAAAACCAAAACUCUCACGUUACACAUUUCAUCCCUUCCUGAUGGAUGUGAUCUAGUAACUGACAGUUGAUAAUUUUCCCCGUAACAUUAAGUUCAUUGUUAUACAAGACUAUCCCUUCCAGGUGUUCAUUAUACCGACCUUCUUACUACACUAAACUAUGAGACGAUACAACUAGAACUCUCUUUUACAAAAUAAGAAUCAAAAAGAAUCUACAUGUAACUAGACAACACUUAUAACACGAGAGUUUGUCACAAAGGGGGGGCGAUUUAACAAUAAUAAUCGAACGAGGUAGGACAAAAAACAACAAGACAGGGGUGGAACUUCUAUACAGGUCAUCAAGUGAGUACGGUAAUUAUAAACUGUCGAAACAAGGAGAUAUCGCGAGGUCCAUAUAGACGUUUCACAGCGUAUUAUAAACCAGGUUCGAACGUUAACAAGUCCACUAAACUUGAAGGAAAUAGAACUUACCUGAACAUGAGGUCGGUUUAAGUUCACUACUUUCGAGUCAAAGCAGGGAGGUCACAUGCAGGACCAAAUAAUAUACUACUUACGAAAGAUGAGCGAAGGUAGAUAGUACACAAGUAUCAAACUAAUUACUAUUACGAAAGAUGCGUGAAUGGGAAGGAUCUAAUCAUCCCGGAACCAGGUGGUUGGUUUUAGAGGGGACAAAAUAAGAAAACACGAUGAACCCGGAAAAUUCCAGACAAAAAACAAGCGAAACCCUUAUUUUUUCUCAAAGAAUUAAAAUCUAAACUUGUAAUCUGUAUCUCCAUACUCAGUCACAUGACCAAACUGUUCACCAUAACAGUAUAAGUGUACACGAAACCUUUAUUCUUUUCUUAUUCAACCAAAAACCAAACUUACAGUACGUUUUUAGUAUGCUCACUUCCCUCGAGAGUCAGGUAUUAGACUGACAAUAAACCGCAACUCUAAGAAAGAAGACGAGAAGAUUAUAAGGACGGACCCACCGAAGUGUACACGAAAGCAGAGAUGUACACAAAACGAUGAACCAACUCUGGACGAGAAGAUAACGGAGAGAUGUACACAAAACGAUGUUUGAAUACAGACUUGGUUCUAAUCCAGAAUGCUGCCCUAUUCGGUUAGGGAUUUAUUAGACCGUUGUAAUGAUCCUUCCUCCCCAAUACACGACUAACCACAAAAUUCAACAACCACCUCGAUGUGGAAACUCGCCUACGGCAAGCAACAUCUAGGUCGCCGAGUUGUACGUAAGGAAGAAGUUGACUUCGAGGUUGGACUCGUUCCCGUACCAUCGUCUACUACAGAAAUACACAGUCUUCUCCGCUGGCCAACCAACUAAAACAUGUGUGUAAGACAUUUAAUUUGAAUCGUUAUUUCGAAGUCGUUCACACAAGAAACAGUAGAGGGAAAGUAUACACAGUGGAAGACCAAGAAAUUAGACAUAACAUGUUGUAAACUGAUAGGUUAAUUAAAAAACAUUUGGUUGAGUUGUCGAAACUUAGUUACUGGUGUACACG